rnacentral:lncRNA from 1 species
AUCAGGAAAGUGGGCAAAUGGGACAGUAGACAGGUGUCAAAACUCUUCACUGUCACUUUUAGGGAAGGCGGAUCCUCCAUAGAAUCAUGCUAGAAAGCAUUUACAAACUUCAAUAAAAUAUCGAUAUUUACGCUAAAUUUCAGCAGCCCUGCCAGACUGCAUAGAAAGUUAUAUGUAAAUGGACUGGGAUACUUCCAUGAUACAAUGAAUACAAGACUAGGAGCAGUAAGAGUAAAUGAAGCAUAGUGAGAUGUGCAUAAAGUAUAGUGCAAGCUCUUUAAACUGAGCCCUUCGUACCAUUCUUUGAAUAUAAAACUAAUAUAUACUAAUAAUAAUUAGUUAGUUUCAUAUUCAAAGGUGCCAUUAGUGAUGUCGUAAUGACAUUAGAGGUGUUGCGGUACGAGAGGCUAUACCGCCCGAA